rnacentral:rRNA from 1 species
CGGGGUGCAGCAGGCGCGAAAACUUUACAAUGCUGGAAACAGCGAUAAGGGGACCUCGAGUGCCAGGUUACAAAUCUGGCUGUCGUGAUGCCUAAAAAGCAUUGCAUAGCAAGGGCCGGGCAAGACCGGUGCCAGCCGCCGCGGUAACACCGGCGGCUCGAGUGGUAACCGUUAUUAUUGGGUCUAAAGGGUCUGUAGCCGGCCGGAUAAGUCUCUUGGGAAAUCCAGCAGCUCAACUGUUGGGCUUUCAGGAGAUACUGUCUGGCUCGAGGCCGGGAGAGGUGAGAGGUACUUCAGGGGUAGGGGUGAAAUCUUGUAAUUCUUGAAGGACCACCAGUGGCGAAGGCGUCUCACCAGAACGGACCUGACGGCAAGGGACGAAAGCUAGGGGCACGAACCGGAUUAGAUACCCGGGUAGUCCUAGCCGUAAACGAUACUCGCUAGGUGUCGGCCACGGUGCGACCGUUGUCGGUGCCGUAGGGAAGCCGUGAAGCGAGCCACCUGGGAAGUACGGCCGCAAGGCUGAAACUUAAAGGAAUUGGCGGGGGAGCACAAGGGCGAUUCGCG